AUGAAAUGCUAUAAUCUCCUCUCAUAUAUGGUGCUCUUUUGCAAUAGUCUUGGGAUAGUGAUUCAAUAAAUAACAGGUCCCCUGUCUAGAGCGUACGCGUCCUUGAGCCACACACCUGCAUGCGUUGACGUCAUACCGUGGCUUCACUGCAGGUUGACCUUGUCUAGAGGAGCAUUAGUGGAAAAAAACAGGGUAGCCCUGAGACAAUAGGAUGCCGUCACGUCCAAUGAGACUGGCCUGCAGGGGGCGCAAGGAUUCACUUCUCUCUUGGACACUGGCGGGUGUAGACACGGUAAUUAUGAUCCUGGCGUUGAUCGUCAGUAGAAGAGCGUAGCUUAGGUGGGGUUCUGUCUGCCUCUGAUGGGGUGCGGAUGUGUGGUUCGUCACUGGUGAAUGGUGUUCGACGAUGCAGGUGGAUUUUGUGACGAGCGGAUUUACAAUGAGGGAAUGUAGUGUACGUGUCCGAUGAUAGUGAGCGUCUUUUCACUCUGUUCAAGUGUUCGUUUUCCUCUGUUGCCCAACAGUCGUGCGAAUUUGUCCUGACGUGUCCUGACAUGCCCCGAUAUGCAUGCUUUCCUUUGUUAACGCUUUGUAUUUUGUCUUUUUUGACAAGGAACAUUGUCGUCUUGACGAUAGCGCUGCCCUGAGUUCUGCGCGCGUUGAUUUGUUGAGUGCCUAGUCCUCUUAUUAGCCGUUGAUGGAGUUACAUGUUAGGAUAUUCUGUUCUUUUGCAAGUCUCAUUUAGUAAGACUUUGGAAUUCCUUCGAUCAGCUUUCAUGCAUGGUGCUCUUCUGCAAUAGUUUCCUAUGCAAUCGUUAUAGAAGAAUAAAGGAAAUAAUCUUGGGAUAGUGAUUCAAUAAAUAAUAAGUCCCCUGUCUAGAGCGCACGCGUCCUUGAGCCACGCAGGUGCAUGAUGACGUCAUACCGUGGCUUCACUGCAGAUUGACCUUGUCUAGAGGAGCAUUAGUGAAAAAAAAAACAGUGUAGCCCUGAGACAAUAGGAUGAUGUCUGGACCAAUGAGAACGGGCAGCAGAGGGCGCAGGAAUGCUCUUCUCACUUAGCCUCACGACCAAUGAGCAACGAGAGAAGAGGGCGCAGGAAUGCUCUUCGCGCUUAGCCUCUCGCAGGUGGCGGUAGGAGCGCGCAGAGGGCGCUACGAGUGCGCGCAUGCGUAGCACCCGUAGAGUGGCGCUUACGUCAGUCCACCUCUGGCUCUCGUUGGGAAAAGACGUGCGGUCGUUCGCUCCGUCGUCACUUGAUCCCUGGCUGUCGACGAGAGCGGACGCUCCGUCGCAGCGGGGAAAAAGAGCUACGAUGCUGGCGCCAUCUGGUGUGAUGCCUUGGAACUAGCGUGCCACCUGCCUCUGCAACCGUCGUGCUCCAGUCGCCCGCACCGGCGUGAUUUCUUCAAGAUGGCGUCGUUGAUUUUCAAAUAAAUCAUUUCCCACUGUCUG